GGGAUUGGAUCAGUACAAAGUUGAGGAGCCCCAGAGAACCUAACAAGGAGCUAAGAAUGAACAAGAGCAGGAGGGCCUGCUGCUACCUUCUAAUCUUCUGAUCACCAACUGCUUCACACCAUGGUUAACAUGUCAUUGCUCUGCAUCUGGCACAGUGCAAAAUGCAGCAGACCUUCUUGUUUGAGACAGCUACUAAGAAUUUCAAGAUGCCCAGUGGAAGCCUGGUCCUACCACCUGUCCUCUUCUCCAGCCAUGGAGCGGAGGGGAGGGCUGUUCUCACAAUAUGAACCUGCUUGGAGGAAAAUACACAAGGAGAUGUGAUUUCCACAACAGCUACCAACAUGAGGCUGACUGGCACAUUGAUGACUAACUCCUUGCUUGUGUGAAGACCAGUGGUUCAAUGCUCCAGAUUGCAAGGGAACCCAUUGGACAAAUCAGGCUGCCAACAGCAGAAGAAAUUAUAAUAGGCCAUCAGGAAAAGGGGCCCAUCUCCAGGAUAGUCCCAGGUUUGCUAUUCCAAAGAAUCUUCACGAAGAAGAUAGUUACUGCCUGCUUUUACAUAGUUAGGGACCACCCAGUCGGGAGGCUGGGAGACUGCCGGACAACCUCAGAUCAUCCGAGAUUCCUGGUACCUGUGUCUACAAAUGGGCAAGAGUGGAAGGGCUACUGGGAUGGUAUGUAUGUGGUGUGCACACAUGGAGAUGGGGGUAGAGCUUAACCUCAUUCUUUCCUUGACCCCAACACGCAUCAGUGGGAUAACUGCUGCUGCCAGACACCACCCGCCCAGUGACUGCAGGGUAAACGGUCAGCAGAGGAAAUGCAGGUGCCAGAAUGUGCACGAAUUCUGCAAUUUCUAUCUCUAAGGGCAUUUCCCCAUCCUCCCCCCACCCCACCCCCCCUUUCCAGGAUUUCCAAAGUCUCUUGUUUG